rnacentral:misc_RNA from 1 species
AACACUGUUAACCUGCGGUACCUGCGGAGGGAUCAUUACCGAGUUUACAACUCCCAAACCCCUGUGAACAUACCACUUGUUGCCUCGGCGGAUCAGCCCGCUCCCGGUAAAACGGGACGGCCCGCCAGAGGACCCCUAAACUCUGUUUCUAUAUGUAACUUCUGAGUAAAACCAUAAAUAAAUCAAAACUUUCAGCAAUGGAUCU